GACGAACGCUGGCGGCGUGCUUAACACAUGCAAGUCGAACGGAAAGGCCCUGCGUUUGUGGGGUGCUCGAGUGGCGAACGGGUGAGUAACACGUGAGUAACCUGCCCUUGACUUUGGGAUAACUUCAGGAAACUGGGGCUAAUACCGGAUAGGAGCUCCUGCUGCAUGGUGGGGGUUGGAAAGUUUCGGCGGUUGGGGAUGGACUCGCGGGUUAUCAGCUUGUUGGGGGGGUAGUGGCUUACCAAGGCUUUGACGGGUAGCCGGCCUGGGAGGGUGACCGGCCACAUUGGGACUGAGAUACGGCCCAGACUCCUACGGGAGGCAGCAGUGGGGAAUAUUGCACAAUGGGCGGAAGCCUGAUGCAGCAACGCCGCGUGCGGGAUGACGGCCUUCGGGUUGUAAACCGCUUUCGCCUGUGACGAAGCGUGAGUGACGGUAAUGGGUAAAGAAGCACCGGCUAACUACGUG
rnacentral:rRNA from 1 species